CUGCGAGAAGCCUUUGAAGCGGAAGCAAAGGAAAAAAAACUUCCUCGACUGUUACUGACCGCGGCAGUUUCCGCUGGAGCCGAUACCAUAAAAUCAGGCUAUGAUGUACCAGCUGUUGCUGCAUAUCUUGAUUUCUUGAACAUCAUGUCAUAUGAUUUCCAUGGAAAAUGGGAAAGUAAAACUGGUCACAAUGCUCCACUUUAUGCCCAAGCCAAUGAAAGUGAAUGGAGAAAAAUGCUUUCCAUAG
rnacentral:misc_RNA from 1 species